CAGGUGGGGAAUAGGCAGCAAAGCCGGACUGGCUUUGAAGAAACAAGAGUAGCUCUUUGCCUGUAAAUCUCCGUGGGUAAUAAAGAGAGAGUGAGAGAUGAGAAAAUAUCUGAUCUCCGUCCAGAAUUGCUUCCAAAAAGGAGGAGUCCGGUUGAUUCUCCAGAGUGAUUAAGGGAACGAUCUGUCUUCCGAGAGGCUGGGGGAACGGCAGCGAGCGAACGGAAGACUGACAGAGGGAGCGAGCGAGAGCAGGAGGGAGAGGGAGUUUAAUGCAAGAAUAAUGGAGUCUUUUCUUUCCUUUCAAAACUUACUGUAUUUCAAGGCCGCACAUUCCGGCCUUGCUGGGCUCAGACCCUUUCAUUAUGGUCUCACCCAAGCCAUAGACAGUAGAGGCCAUCCUUAUUUUUAUCUUUUAGGAAGUGAAUUUGGAGGGUUUAUAUAUAUAAUAAAAAUAUGGGUAUGUAUCUGGAA